rnacentral:rRNA from 1 species
AUGAACGCUGGCGGCGUGCCUAAUACAUGCAAGUCGAGCGAACGGACGAGAAGCUUGCUUCUCUGAUGUUAGCGGCGGACGGGUGAGUAACACGUGGAUAACCUACCUAUAAGACUGGGAUAACUUCGGGAAACCGGAGCUAAUACCGGAUGAUAUUUUGAACCGCAUGGUUCAAAAGUGAAAGACGGUCUUGCUGUCACUUAUAGAUGGAUCCGCGCUGCAUUAGCUAGUUGGUAAGGUAACGGCUUACCAAGGCAACGAUGCAUAGCCGACCUGAGAGGGUGAUCGGCCACACUGGAACUGAGACACGGUCCAGACUCCUACGGGAGGCAGCAGUAGGGAAUCUUCCGCAAUGGGCGAAAGCCUGACGGAGCAACGCCGCGUGAGUGAUGAAGGUCUUCGGAUCGUAAACCUCUGUUAUUAGGGAAGAACAUAUGUGUAAGUAACUGUGCACAUCUUGACGGUACCUAAUCAGAAAGCCACGGCUAACUACGUG